rnacentral:rRNA from 1 species
UACGAAGGGGGCUAGCGUUGCUCGGAAUUACUGGGCGUAAAGCGCACGUAGGUGGUUUGUUAAGUCAGCUGUGAAAUCCCCGGGCUCAACCUGGGCACUGCAGUUGAAACUGGCAAGCUAGAGUAGGGUAGAGGGGUGUGGAAUUCCAGGUGUAGCGGUGAAAUGACGUAGAUAUCAGGAGGAACACCGGUGGCGAAGGCGGGUCUCUGGGCCGAUACUGACGCUGGAGGAGCGAAAGCGUGGGGAGCAAACAGG